UUCGAUCCGCGGGAGGGGGUAAAACAUACGCCUUCCAUUGGUUUGGUCGAAGUUAAACCAUCAACCGUCUACGCCGGAGCCGAUCUCUUCAUUGCGGCUACCCAAGCUACACAAGUAUAUUAUCUGCCUUACCCAUGCCAGAAAGAGUACCUAAAGGGUUGGGAAGUUGUGUUCAAGGUGUCGCCACAUGGUAAGCUACCGAACCCGAAUGAAGACGAUUACUACAACAUUAACCCCAUGACAUACGAGGGAGUGUUCUAUCAAGAGCAACCUGAUGAUGAUGAUGUGGUUAGAAACGAUGACGCUAGACCAUUGGGUGAUGAUGAUGUGGAUCCAAACGAUGACGAUGCACGGAAUGAUGGUGAGACCAUUGUCAAUGAAAAUGACAUACUUAUGCUAGAAAAGCUAAACGAAGACACUGACGACGAGGAAGAGCCUCCACCUCCGUCAGACAACGAAGAUGAUAUGAUUGAUAGUGAUGAUGAGACCGACCAAGAAAGAGGUUACAACAGUGAUGAUUCAUAUGGGUUCUAG
rnacentral:rRNA from 1 species